CGCGUGCCGAUCGUGACCUGAUCGACGCCAAAGGCUGAUCCCGUCGCGACAUAGUCGAGGGGAUCAAGGGGUCCGCCCAGGGCAAAGCGAUAGGCGUCGUGGUCGCAGCCGAAAUAGGUGCCUUCCACAGGCGUGCCGCUUUGGUCGCUCACGCCCUUGUGGCCCACCAGGACGCCGCCUACCUUGGCCACAGCAGCGGCAAUCUUGGCCGUCUGUUGAGGUCCGUCCUUGUCCUUGAAUGAAUUCAGACAGCCCGCAACGAUCCAGUCGCCGCCAUCGGGACGUGUAGCGAUCCACCGCGCCAGGGCGUCAAAAGAGGCAUCGCGGCUCGGCACGUGGAUGGGAAAGUGCGUGGCGGCGACGGUGAUCCUGCGCGGUGCCACCCAGAGCCGACCGCCAAGUUCUUCCGGGGCGCGCUCGACCAGCCUGACCACCAAAAGGUUGCACCCCCAGCCGGCCGGGUUGUGGCGGUCGGCAGGCAGCGUGCGGGCGUCGCGAUCGCCCUCGGGCUCGCCGAGCAGUUGCACAUUCUCGGUCCAGCAGAGGUGGAAGCGCGAGGCGUCCCACGCGACGAGGUUGGCCAUGGCGCCCGCGGUCGAGUUGCGCUGGCCGUGCGCACAGUCGUACCCGAGAUCAGAGAGGGAGGUGACAAGUUGCGCACGGUGGCCGCGAUGAAUGAUCUCCUCAAGGCAAACGAUCGCCGGUCUCACCGACCGAAUGUAAGCGACAAUGCGGUCGAAGCGGUUGUCCCAGCGUGUCUGCUCCGGCUGCUCGGAAGGCUCCUCGCGCGGGUUGUGGAUGUUCCACUGCAUGACAACGAUGGGCUUGUCGGCGAGCGCGGCCGCUUCGAGCGCUUCAACAGAGACAUGGAGAUUUUGGUGCUGCAUGCUGAAAAAAAAGGAG
rnacentral:lncRNA from 1 species